UCAUUCGAGCAAGAAAUAUUA
rnacentral:miRNA from 2 species